rnacentral:rRNA from 1 species
AUACAGAGGGUGCAAGCGUUAAUCGGAAUUACUGGGCGUAAAGCGCACGUAGGUGGUUCAUUAAGUCAGAUGUGAAAGCCCCGGGCUCAACCUGGGAACUGCAUUUGAAACUGGUGAGCUAGAGUAUGGUAGAGGUAAGUGGAAUUCCAGGUGUAGCGGUGAAAUGCGUAGAUAUCUGGAGGAACAUCAGUGGCGAAGGCGACUUACUGGACCAAUGCUGACACUGAGGUGCGAAAGCGUGGGGAGCAAACAGGAUUAGAAACCCUAGUAGUCC